UCCCGUGUGGCUCAGUUGGUAGAGCAUGGUGUUUGCAACGCCAGGGUUGUGGGUUCGAUCACCAUGGGGG
rnacentral:tRNA from 1 species